UACGUAGGGUGCAAGCGUUGUCCGGAAUUAUUGGGCGUAAAGAGCUCGUAGGCGGUCUGUCACGUCGGCUGUGAAAACCCGAGGCUCAACCUCGGGCCUGCAGUCGAUACGGGCAAACUAGAGUACUGCAGGGGAGACUGGAAUUCCUGGUGUAGCGGUGAAAUGCGUAGAGAUCAUGAGGAAGACCAGUGGCGAAGGCGGGUCUCUGGACAGUUCCUGACACUGAGGCACGAAGGCCAGGGGAGCAAACGGG
rnacentral:rRNA from 1 species